UACGUAGGGGGCAAGCGUUGUCCGGAAUCAUUGGGCGUAAAGAGCGUGUAGGCGGCUUGGUAAGUCCGCUGUGAAAGUCCAGGGCUCAACCCUGGAAUGCCGGUGGAAACUGUCAAGCUUGAGUCCGGAAGAGGCGAGUGGAAUUCCUGGUGUAGCGGUGAAAUGCGCAGAUAUCAGGAGGAACACCAAUGGCGAAGGCAGCUCGCUGGGACGGUACUGACGCUGAGAGACGAAAGCUAGGGGAGCAAAUGGG
rnacentral:rRNA from 1 species